UUUAAAUGCUAUCAUAAGAUUCCGUGUUCCAUUUUGAUCGUUCGUCUUAUUUAAAAUUUUUUUAUAAUUAGUAUUUUUGUAAAAAAAUUUUAUAAUUAGUAUUUUUGUUGUUAUGAGAUGAUAAAAUAUGAAUAGUACUUUACUCGCGACUUAUAUUUUUAAAUUUUUUAAAAAAGUUUUAAAUAAAAUGGACGAUCAAAGUUGAACGCUGAAAACCAUGGCGGCACGGACG
rfam:Oryza glaberrima chromosome 11 Oglab11_0311_2, whole genome shotgun sequence.